rnacentral:misc_RNA from 1 species
AAAAAAUCUAAGGCCCAUAAAGUUAUAACCCAUUCCAUAAGUGUCCAAGCCAACAUCUUUUCAUUUGCCCCUUCUUCUUCUUUUGCAUAGCUGUUGCAUGCCCUUCUUUCUUUUCCAUUUUGUAUCGUUGUUGUCUAUCACUACUACUUCUUUUUCAUCUUGUUAGUGAACUAGGACAUGUGCCCAAGCGUUUUGGAAUGUCAGAGUAUUGCGUUCUGGGAUGUGAGUACUAGCUCAAGGUUGGGAGAGA